UACGAAGGGGGCUAGCGUUGCUCGGAAUUACUGGGCGUAAAGGGUGCGUAGGCGGGUCUUUAAGUCAGAGGUGAAAUCCUGGAGCUCAACUCCAGAACUGCCUUUGAUACUGAGGAUCUUGAGUUCGGGAGAGGUGAGUGGAACUGCGAGUGUAGAGGUGAAAUUCGUAGAUAUUCGCAAGAACACCAGUGGCGAAGGUGGCUCACUGGCCCGAUACUGACGCUGAGGUGCGAAAGCGUGGGGAGCAAACAGG
rnacentral:rRNA from 1 species